rnacentral:rRNA from 1 species
GACGAACGCUGGCGGCGUGCUUAACACAUGCAAGUCGAACGGAAAGGCCCUGCUUUUGUGGGGUGCUCGAGUGGCGAACGGGUGAGUAACACGUGAGUAACCUGCCCUUGACUUUGGGAUAACUUCAGGAAACUGGGGCUAAUAUCGGAUAGGAGCUCCUGCUCCAUGGUGGGGGUUGGAAAGUUUCGGCUGUUGGGGAUGGACUCGCGGCUUAUCAGCUUGUUGGUGGGGUAGUGGCUUACCAAGGCUGUGACGGGUAGCCGGCAUGAGAGGGUGACCGGCGACAAUGGGACUGCGAUACGGACCAGAAUCGUACGGGAGGCAGUAGUGGGGAGUAUUGCACAAUGGGCGGACGCCAGAUGUGGAAACGCUGCGUGCGGAAUGACGGCUUUCGGGUUGUAAACAGAUGUCGAAUGAGACGAGGCGUGCGUGACGGUACUGGGUCAAGAAGCAACGGCUAACUACGUG